rnacentral:rRNA from 1 species
CGUCAAGUCAUCAUGGCCCUUACGGCCAGGGCUACACACGUGCUACAAUGGCGCGUACAGAGGGCUGCAAGCUAGCGAUAGUGAGCGAAUCCCAAAAAGCGCGUCGUAGUCCGGAUCGGAGUCUGCAACUCGACUCCGUGAAGUCGGAAUCGCUAGUAAUCGCAAAUCAGAAUGUUGCGGUGAAUACGUUCCCGGGCCUUGUACACACCGCCCGUCACACCAUGGGAGUGGGUUGCACCAGAAGUAGAUAGCUUAACCUUCGGGAGGGCGUUUACCACGGUGUGAUUCAUGACUGGGGUGAAGUCGUAACAAGGUAACCCUAGGGGAACCUGGGGUUGGAUCACCUCCUUACCUUAA